rnacentral:lncRNA from 1 species
CUCUGAUGCUGCAAGAGCAGAGAUGAGUGUGACAGAGACCUUUGGGCCUCAAAUCCUGAACAAACCAUGUGGCCCUUUACAGGAAAGGUUUGCCAGCCUCUGCUUUAAAAGAUGAAACUAUAGAUUGAAUAUGGGAUAGUUGGUGGCAGAGGAAAAAGCAACUGUCGGGGCAGUAUAUUGUAUCUGGGAAGGCUGUGGGUAUCAGAAUGAGUAUAUGAAAACGCAUCUAUUUGACAGACCUGGAGCAGUUACUGUCUGCUGCUAAGGUUUCCACUACAGAUGCAAGAAAAAGGUGUCCUCGCGCUUUCUUUCUGUCUCAUUGUGGCAGCCAAGAUUGAAUGGGGGAAUACAGGGGAAAAACAUGGAGAGAAUUUUUGCCACUUGGAAGUAACCUUGUAAACAGUGAAGAGGCUGUUUACUCCAAGGAAGAAUCUAAAGUUUGAGUUUACAAGGGAAGUGUUGAAAACUGUUCCCCUACGCCUUUGCCUUCUGAUUGAUUACACUUUUAAAAGCUUAUAGCUUAAAACUAAAGGCAAGCGAGAGAUUCUUGUACCUGGUCAUGUGGCAUGUGAACCCAGCAUGAAUCCAGUGAUUUGGCAAUCGGGAACUUGUCUUAGUGACUGAAGUCCAUUGGGUGGUUCAGAACCUGAGACGGAUACAAAUCAGGCGGAUUUUUCAUAGUCCUUCUUGGAGAGAAAAGAGGACUGGGCUGAAAUGUUUCAGAGUUGGGAUACGUGAACGUGGGUCAAAAUCUCCAAAGUUUCCUUGGCAGCCCCCUCGGAGUAGUGAGCGUGGACCUAGGCGAAAUGGGAGACCUGAGUCGUAACUUACCCGUCCUUGAGAAGACGACCUGCCCCCUAG